GGUUCGGUGGUCUAGGGGUAUGAUUAUCGCUUAGGGUGCGAGAGGUCCCAGUGUCAAAUCCCGGCCGAACCC